UGGAUUCUCCCCCUUUCCUUCCACUUGAGAGAGCUGCAAGCUUCCCCUCCUCCCAUUCCCACUUAGGACAGCUUAUCCCAAAAGGGGCUUUUACCAAAUGGAGGAGUUCUGCUUCUGUCGUUGCCUUGGGAAGCACAGGCAACAGGAAACAAGCUCCCAGCUCUGCAUAAUGAACUUUCCUGAAAGAGGGAAAAGGAGAGAGCGCAACUUCUGCAGGUUGAGGAGAGAACCCACCAAUCUCUGCUGCCGCUUCCCAAAGGGGCCCCAAUGAAUCACCUAGAGCAACACAAGGCCAUCUCUCUGCCUUGGGUCGGCGUGAUGCCCUGCCUAAGCCUCUCAUGUCCUUUACGCAGGGACUUGCUUGUCCCUCAGCACAGCCUUCCUCACACAGGUUAUUUUUGUAUCGCAGUCACUGUGUGCUAGGCUCUCUAAAUCCACUGCAAUCCAGGGAGAGGUGAUUCCUUCUUGGCCUGCCCUGCCCAGAGCAGGUUAUCACCUCCCCAGCGAACUGGGCCAGACACCCUGCCGCAGCUUUGCUUUUACGUGGGGAAUUACAUGCUAAGAUGGUUCCUCCUUCCCCUCCCCCGUAUCUCCAGCCAUGAAAACAAGCAAAUGCUUGUGAGCUAAUCCAGUGCAGAGACUUUAUUAAAUACACACAACUGAUACUGGUGGCUUGUUUGUUUGGGGUUGCUUUUUUUUGCAUUUGCUAUCUUUGGAAAGCUAAUCCCCUGGAGUUCACCCAGCGAUUUCAGUCACCUCCAAAUAACACUUACUAAUAAUCUUAAUAAAUCCAUCUCCUAAGCAGCAGCCACUACUGCCUGGCACUGAAGUACCCAGAGCACCUCAGCAGCUUUGCUUCAGCCGACACUCCUGUUUAUCUUCACCAUAAAUGAAAACCCGCACUUGCUCACUCAUUCCCCAGCCUCCGAGAACGGCUCCUCUGGGCAGCCUGACUGAUACACGGUGCAAGGGGAGGUGGUCGGGGGCAUGAGACUUGCAGGCUGCUUCUCUGCCUCUGCCCCUCACCCAAACCAGCUGCUGAGCAUUUUUCACAAGGCUACACGUAUCUGGUAUAGGACAGCUACGUUAGAUGAAUUUGUAGCCAUAAACCACAAACGUCUUGAUUCCUUCUGAAAAAUAAAAGCUUCAUCUAUCUGAUAAAAUAAUGUUCCUAACCAAAGCAGGCGAAUCUGGGGAUAUAUUCUGCACAUUUGUGGUGCCUGGUCUGCUGAUAACUUGGAGUCAGGAUGUAGAGAGUCUGUUCUCAUCUACUUCAUUGACUGGCUCUGUGAAGUUGGGACAAGCAACAAAACCAGGGAUUUGUUAGGCACCAAAAAUGGAUCACGAGCACGAUGCAUGUGUCUCAGUCCAAAACUGCAAACCUAACACUCUUCCAAGGUUCAGCAGCCUAAUUUAGGGUCCUUGAAAUACAUGCUGGGCUCUUGUUUUCGACAUUUUAUUUCCCUAAGUGCUUACAGACCCUUCAGGCCUGACGGAGCUGAACAGUUCAGUGCUGAUCUCAUGCUGAACGUGCUUCCUCCACUUCGCUCCUGAAGAACCUCAAACUACCAGGCAUAUUCCUACCAAAUGAGUCCUUGCACAGAGACUCCUUCAAUGAGAGCCUCAAUUUCCUUCAAAACAUCUCUGUAAAGAAGCACUGCACUGCCUAAGUAUUAUUAAACUCUGGAGUCACUAAUAGAGAAAUUAAAGAACAGUGUGAAGUGACUAGUUUAAAGCAGAUACACAGUGGCAAAUCAAGUAUCAAGGUGGAAAAAGUAUUGGAGAUUUCUUAUGUGUUGAUGAUCAGUCUGCACACGCCCUUUUGAAGAUCUUUAAUGAUUUAAUUGCAGCUUAUUAUAUGUUCUGAGAUAUUUGGAUGACAGACAUUAUGCAUAUUACCACUUUAGCUUGAAUAUAUGCCUCAUUUAAAGUGGCUGACACCGAGGACAGCUUCCUCACUGUGCCACCAGUGAAAUACAAUCCUUGCUGCAAGCUGGCUCUACU